AAUCAGUAGAUGAAACUGAAUUUUAUUGUGUCUUUACUUUCUUUUUUCACUAAGCAAACUAAAUUUUCUGUCUGUAUGGAACAUUGCUGCAGUGACACCAUUAGAGAAAGGCAGGGGAAGGAUUGAAAUUUGUGGCAAAGAAUGAUGGAUUGCACAACAUGGUAUGUUCCUUCUAUUUUGUGUACUUUUAUUGCUAAAGGCAGAAGCUUCUUAUGUUCCAAUCACUUUUGUCCAGAAUGCCGUCACAAAAGGAGUUGUUUGUUUGGAUGGGAGUGCACCAGCUUACCAUCUUGAUAGGGGAUUCGGAGAAGGGAUAAACAAUUGGUAAGUUUAGUUUGAGGUGUGUCAUGUCCCUUUCUGCAAACUGGCAUCAAUAAUAAGUCUUCACCAAUUACCAACUCAAGAAAACAUUGCUUUCAUUAUUUUGUUUCUCUUUCUAUUUUAAAACAACAAAAAAUAUUUAUUUCUUUUGCUUGUAUCACUAUGAUUAAACUAAUUGCUUUGGCAAAAUGACAGAGGGGUGAAAGAACUGUUUUGGAAAGAUAAAAUCCAAUCUUAAUUCCAAUUCCAUAAGAGACUAGAAGUUUUCUAAGUGGCUUUUCUGUUGUUGAACUUGCAAAUUCUUAG